rnacentral:rRNA from 1 species
AGUAAAGAUUUUAAGGGCGUACGGUGGAUGCCUUGGCGAUAUCAGCCGAAGAAGGACGCGGUAAGCUGCGAUAAGCUACGGAGAGAUGCAAGCAAUCUUUGACCCGUAGAUUUCCGAAUGGGGGAACCCGGCAGUGGUUAUGCACUGUCACCCAUAGCUUAGACUAUGAGGAGGGCACCUGGGGAACUGAAACAUCUAAUUACCCAGAGGAAAAGUAAUCAAACGAGAUUUUCUUAGUAGCGGCGAGCGAACGGGAAAGAGGCCAAACCGGAGUGGGCAACCACACCGGGGUUGAGGACAGUCAUCAAGUGUAAAUGAGGUAGAAGAAUCGAGUUGGAAAGCUCAGCCGAAGAAGGUGAAAGCCCUGUAAUCGAAACCUUGCAUACAUGGGACUGUAUCCAGAGUACCACGAGACACGUGAAACCUUGUGGGAAGCAGGGGGGACCACCCUCCAAGCCAAAAUACUGAUAUCGACCGAUAGCGCAUAGUACCGUGAGGGAAAGGUGAAAAGAACCCCUGGCGGGGAGUGAAAGAGAACCUGAAACCGUAUGUCUACAAACAGUCGAAGUCUGUAUAUAUAUCAGGACGACGGCGUGCCUAUUGAAGAAUGAACCGACGAGUUACUGUUGCUAGCGAGGUUAAGUGGAAAACAUGGAGCCGCAGCGAAAGCGAGUCUGAACAGGGCGUUCAGUUAGUAAUAGUAGACCCGAAACCGUAGUGAUCUAUCCAUGGCCAGGUUGAAGCACAGGUAAAAUUGUGUGGAGGACCGAACUCGUGAGCGUUGAAAAGCUUUGGGAUGAGUUGUGGAUAGGGGUGAAAUGCCAAUCGAACACGGAGAUAGCUGGUUCUCCCCGAAAUAGCUUUAGGGCUAGCCUCGAGGUUGAGAGUAUAGGCGGUAGAGCACUGAUCGGGCUAGGGGCCAUACCGGUUACCGAACCUAGUCAAACUACGAAUGGCUAUACUUAUACUCGGGAGUCAGACAGUGAAUGAUAAGGUCCAUUGUCAAGAGGGAAACAGCCCAGAACACCGACUAAGGUCCCAAAUGUUACACUAAGUGGCGAAGGAUGUGGAGUUUCCAAAACAACCAGGAUGUUGGCUUAGAAGCAGCCACCAUUUAAAGAGUGCGUAAUAGCUCACUGGUCGAGAGACUCUGCGCCGAAGAUGUCCGGGGCUAAAGUGUAAAACCGAAGUCGUGUCAUAUGCAGUAAUGUAUAUGGGUAGGGGAGCGUUCUCAUCGGGCUGAAGCAGUACCGUAAGGAGUUGUGGACUGAUGAGAAGUGAGAAUGUCGGUAUGAGUAGCGAAAAGAAUGGUGAGAAUCCAUUCCACCGAAAGCCUAAGGGUUCCUGAGCAACGAUCGUCGUCUCAGGGUAAGUCGGGACCUAAGCCGAGGCGGAAAAGCGUAGGCGAUGGACAACAGGUUGAAAUUCCUGUACCGGUGUGAAUCGUUUGAUCGAUGGAGUGACACAGUAAGGUAGGUCAGCACGCGAUUGGAAGUGCGUGUUUAAGCAUGUAGGUUGAGCUAUAGGCAAAUCCGUAGCUCUAAAAGCUGAGAUGUGAUGACGAGUUACUAGCGAUAGUAACGAAGUGAUUGAUCCUACACUGUCGAGAAAAGCUUCUAGGUAGAGACACAUCGCCCGUACCAAAACCGACACAGGUAGGCGGGGAGAGAAUCCUAAGGUGCGCGGGAAAACCCUCGUUAAGGAACUCGGCAAAAUGCCUCCGUAACUUCGGGAAAAGGAGGACUCAUGUAGUGUGAAGAACGGCGGCCGUAACUAUAACGGUCCUAAGGUAGCGAAAUUCCUUGUCGGGUAAGUUCCGACCCGCACGAAAGGUGUAACGACUUGCGCACUGUCUCAACGAGGGACCCGGUGAAAUUGAAGUACCUGUGAAGAUGCAGGUUACCCGCGACUGGACAGAAAGACCCCAUGGAGCUUUACUGCAACCUAAGAUUGAACUUAGUUAAUGAAUGUACAGGAUAGGUGGGAGACGUAGAAUCUAGGACGCCAGUUUUAGAGGAGUCACUGUUGGGAUACCACCCUUUCAUUAAUUGAUUUCUAACGGGCCGAGUAACGACCGGCCGGACAGUCUUAGGCGGGCAGUUUGACUGGGGCGGUCGCCUCCUAAAGAGUAACGGAGGCGCCCAAAGGUUCCCUCAGAGCGGACGGAAAUCGCUCGAAGAGUGUAAAGGCAGAAGGGAGCUUGACUGCGAGACGGACAGGUCGAGCAGGGACGAAAGUCGGGCUUAGUGAUCCGGUGGUGCCGAGUGGAAGGGCCAUCGCUCAACGGAUAAAAGCUACCCUGGGGAUAACAGGCUAAUCUCUCCCAAGAGUCCAUAUCGACGGGGAGGUUUGGCACCUCGAUGUCGGCUCAUCACAUCCUGGGGCUGAAGUAGGUCCCAAGGGUUCGGCUGUUCGCCGAUUAAAGUGGUACGUGAGCUGGGUUCAGAACGUCGUGAGACAGUUCGGUCCCUAUCCAUCGCGGGCGCAAGAAACUUGAAGGGGGCUGCUCCUAGUACGAGAGGACCGGAGUGGACGAACCGCUGGUGUACCAAUUAUCCUGCCAAGGGUACAGUUGGGUAGCUACGUUCGGGACGGAUAAACGCUGAAAGCAUCUAAGCGUGAAACCAGCCUUGAGAUGAGGUUUCUCAUAGCAUAAGCUAGUAAGAUCCCAUGUAGACGACAUGGUUGAUAGGCCAGGUGUGGAAGAGCCGUGAGGUUUGGAGCUGACUGGUACUAAUAGAUCGAGGGCUUUACUUA